rnacentral:misc_RNA from 1 species
UACGGGGAGUGCAAGCGUUGUUCGGAAUCAUUGGGCGUAAAGCGCGUGUAGGCGGCCUACUAAGUCCGGUGUGAAAGCCCUCGGCUUAACCGAGGAAGUGCAUUGGAUACUGGUAGGCUUGAGUGCAGGAGGGGGAAGCGGAAUUCCCAGUGUAGAGGUGAAAUUCGUAGAUAUUGGGAGGAACACCAGUGGCGAAGGCGGCUUCCUGGACUGACACUGACGCUGAGACGCGAAAGCGUGGGUAGCAAACAGG